AAAUUUAAAUAUAAUAAAUUAGUGUUUAAUUUAGCUCUAAUGUAUAGUUGAGGUUAAAUUUGUGCCAGCAGCCGCGGUUAGACUGGUACAGUUAGUAGAAGGAGUUCGGUUAAUAGUUAAGCAGUGGAUGUAUUGAAAGUAAAUUUUAUUUAUUUAGAGGUGGAAUUUAAUUAUUAGUUGAUUUAUUUUCUUUUUAUUGGAGCUGAAGCUAUAAAGGUUUAAAUUUAAAAUAGGAUUAGAUACCCUAGUAUAUUUUACUGUAAUUUGAAGGCUUGAUUAAUAUCAGUUAUGUUCUUGAAAUUUAAAGAAUUUGGCGGCACUUUAGCCCGGUUAGAGGAACCUGUCUUUUAAACGAUAAACCACGAAGUAUCUUGCUUUUUUUUGUGUUUCAGUAUGUAUACCGUCAUUAACAAAAACAAUUUUAAUAAAAGUUAGUUGGAAUGGACUCAAAGUUCAUUAGAUUAGAUCAAGGUGCAGCUAAUAAAAAAGUAGAGAUGGGUUACAAUAAUUUUAAAUUAGACGAAUUAAUAAGGUAAGUUUUGUUUAUGAAGGAGGAUUUAACAGUAAGUGUGAAGUAAUAAGUCUCGCUGAUGGUGGUUCUGGAGUGUGCACACAUCGCCCGUCGCUCUCAUAAGAAAUAUGAGAUAAGUCGUAACAGAGUAGGUGUACUGGAAAGUGUACCUAGGAUGAA
rnacentral:rRNA from 1 species